GGAUGUGGGGACGGAGAAGGUUAGCUCAGCCGGGUGUUGGAUGUCCCGGUUCAAGCCUGUAGUCGUGCCUGGUAGGUAAAUCCGCCGGGCUUAGAUGAGGGGUGAUAACGAGGAGGCUUGCCUCCGAAGUGAGUGAUACCCAGCUUCCAGGAAAAGCCACUAAGCUUCAGCUGCACACGACCGUACCGCAAACCGACACUGGUGCGCGAGAUGAGUAUUCUCAGGCGCUUGAGAGAACUCGGGAGAAGGAACUCGGCAAAUUGACACCGUAACUUCGGAAGAAGGUGUGCCUUUAGUAGGUGAACCCGUACAGGGGGAGCCCAAUGAGGUUGCAAAGAAUCGGUGGCUGCGACUGUUUAAUAAAAACACAGCACUCUGCAAACACGAAAGUGGACGUAUAGGGUGUGACGCCUGCCCGGUGCUGGAAGAUUAAGUGAUGGGGUGCAAGCUCUUGAUCGAAGUCCCAGUAAACGGCGGCCGUAACAAUAACGGUCCUAAGGUAGCGAAAUUCCUUGUCGGGUAAGUUCCGACCUGCACGAAUGGCGUAACGAUGGCCACACUGUCUCCUCCCGAGACUCAGCGAAGUUGAAAUGUUUGUGAUGAUGCAAUCUCCCCGCGGAAAGACGGAAAGACCCCAUGAACCUUUACUGUAGCUUUGUAUUGGACUUUGAACGGAUCUGUGUAGGAUAGGUGGGAGGCUUUGAAGCAGGGUCGCUAGAUCUUGUGGAGCCAACGUUGAAAUACCACCCUGGUGCGUUUGAGGUUCUAACCUAGGCCCGUUAUCCGGGUCGGGGACAGUGCAUGGUAGGCAGUUUGACUGGGGCGGUCUCCUCCCAAAGCGUAACGGAGGAGUUCGAAGGUACGCUAGUUACGGUCGGACAUCGUGACGAUAGUGCAAUGGCAUAAGCGUGCUUAACUGCGAGACUGACAAGUCGAGCAGAUGCGAAAGCAGGACAUAGUGAUCCGGUGGUUCUGUAUGGAAGGGCCAUCGCUCAACGGAUAAAAGGUACUCUGGGGAUAACAGGCUGAUACCGCCCAAGAGUUCAUAUCGACGGCGGUGUUUGGCACCUCGAUGUCGGCUCAUCUCAUCCUGGGGCUGUAGCCGGUCCCAAGGGUAUGGCUGUUCGCCAUUUAAAGAGGUACGUGAGCUGGGUUUAAAACGUCGUGAGACAGUUUGGUCCCUAUCUUCCGUGGGCGCUGCAGAUUUGAGGAAGCCUGCUCCUAGUACGAGAGGACCGGAGUGGACGCACCUCUGGUGUACCUGUUGUCACGCCAGUGGCAUUGCAGGGUAGCUAAGUGCGGAAGAGAUAACCGCUGAAAGCAUCUAAGCGGGAAACUCGUUUCAAGAUGAGAUCUGCCGGGGCCUUGAGCCCCCUGAAGAGUCGUUCUAGACCAGGACGUUGAUAGGCUGGGUGUGGAAGCGCAGUAAUGCGUUAAGCUAACCAGUACUAAUUGCUCGUGCGGCUUGACCC
rnacentral:rRNA from 1 species